rnacentral:misc_RNA from 1 species
CUCGCACCAGAAAAUGUAGCUAUUAACACUGUCCGUGUUCGCCAUUCUUGAAGAAACGCUGCCCUUUGGAGUGACGUGUGUAUUUGUGACGUGUGUCGCAAGAAUACCUAAAAGCAGCACAACAGUUUCUUAUCAGUACGAUAUAACGCAGAGCUCGCGUUUUGCUGGCCAGUCGCCAGUUUUUCCUUUGUGACAAUAAUACCGAAACAAUAACUAAACUGUCAUAAGCGGCCUUCACCUGCCCACUGUCGUUGGUAAAACGGGACCACACGUGUUUUUGUCACUACCGUGAGACCAAUUAUAUAUCGGGAUUCGCCAUCACUGUAGUUCGGACCAUCUCAUCUUAUCAGCCUCUUCUUCAACUCUGCAGAACUUGCAAAAUAAAAAUAAGAAGAUCCCUAACUUCUCUUGUAAAAGAGCUUUUGUAGCUUUAAACCAGGCUGCUAUAGAUUGCGAGUAUCUGCCUUCUCUUAAGCAAAUAAACGCAGGCUUUUGCUUGAUGACGGUCAUGGGAAUCCACCCUGAAUAGUCGGUUGGAGAGGUGUGACAAACUAUUCGUAACAAGUGACCAAUAAUGUCUUUUCCGCAUAACUGUGGUUCGCAGCGCUAACACAAGAGAAAAAAAUUUGCUGUUGGUGACAGGCGCACAAUUUCUUGAUCCGGUGCAGGAAAUGAACAAGCUAGUUUUAAAACUCUCUCGCUAGGGGUUCGUUUUUAGCUUGCAUGGUGUGAGCAGCUCAGCUCCGGACAUCUUCGCCUUGUCAAAUCAGUGGAGAGACAAGAAUUCUCGUCAAGAAUUUGAAAGGAGACCAGGCAAUUUUGUAAGGGGUCAUUUAGCUUGCGGAACUGUGUCUGUCAUUCAAUCACCCAUUUCUUAGCCGAGCAAUUUUCACCCAUUCUCAACCCUUAAGUCAUCCAUUCUGCCGAGCCAUUUCAAGCCGAGCACAAUAAGAAAAUAGACGCGAACAUUUUAACUUUUGACAAUGUACAUAGUUUGUUAACCCCCUGCGUCCAAUUUGGGCACCCUAGUAGAAAAGAAGUGAAAUCCAAGCGAGCUUCUCGCUGAUUAGAAGUUGACAGCAGACGUCAGCUUGUCCUGUCUGCUUGAGCGAGUCCUUUCAAAAAUAAAGGGACGACGCCAUUGGAGAGACUGAAGGUCAAUCUUAACAACACUGGGUGUAGGCUACUUUUGCCAACAAACUGCAACAAAAGUUUGUGGCCCGCUAACAAAAUUACCUUUCCUAGGUCCUGACGCACAGUUUCCGUUUAUACAAGUGUCACGUUCUUUUGUGAAACUUGCCGAGACGGAGAAAUCCAAUUUUCGGCCCUAACUUUCGUUUCGUGGGCAAAUUCAUUGACCCUACACGCGCGAGCUUCCCCUCCUUUGCACUGUAAAGGAACUCUACCGUGAUAGCUUAGAUUCACUUUGUAUGUCACCGGCGUAGAUUUUUUCACUUCCAACAGAGGCAGUGAAAUGAAACUAAAAAAAAAAACCUAAUGCGCGAUUCCUUGUUUCCCAUCUGAGUCAUGCGUAAUACUUCGUUUUUGUGCACCAAGAGCGACCCGUGCACCGCAAACGUCGUGCACAGACAAAACAUUCCACAGCUUUGAGCGCCUCAGCUGCAACCUUGUUAGUAAAAAGAAUUACAGAUGCAGUGGCUCCUGAGAUUUCUGUAGCGUAGUUUGCUGUUGCCUAGGUAUGGUGCUAGACCUUUUGUACAGAUAACGUAAUCGAAGUUGCGGAGACCGACACGCUCGUUGCAGUGGCUGUGAAGUAGGGAGAAUGCGUCAGAUAUACAAGUGAGGAUCUCUGGGUAAGUUCAUCCUCUCGCGCCCGGUGGAGUGAAACAGAAGAAACGAAAGACGAACUCGUGGUUUCUGCUUUCAAACAAACCCCGAAGACUGUUUGUACUGAGCUGCUACCAGAACAUUCUCUCGUGCCGCGAGCUGGAGCACUUGAGGGUCACGCCAGUAACUACAAUCAGUAACGGGAAAGACGAGACAGAGAAGAGCAAGGUCGAGAACAACAUAAAGGAGAACAAGCACCGACUCUCUGCUGAGCUUUUGCUGCGGUCGUGGAAGAGUCGGUCGGCAGGAGAAACAGAGGCACCCACGGUGAUAGCGAGAAGACGUCCAAAGAGCGUCGUAGUUUUCGGUGAAGGCGGGUUCCCAUCUGCGGCACCGCGGAGUACUGGAUAACGAGGUCUCGCAAGACGUUCCCGCAUCGGCGGGACGGCUCCCGGGCGCCUACGGCUCGGCGAGCCGUGGCGCUCCGGAGUCGCCUUCUUCGGCGACCGCCCCGUCGGUGCCUCCCGUCGCCGCGUGGCGUUGCACGAUGCAGAGGCUUCGCGAGACCUUCCGGCGCUCCAAGGGGGGCCCCGCCCUCGAGUCCCACCUGCCCACGUCGGUGAGCCUCGAAGUGCCCAAGCAGGUGCGCUCGGCGAGCUUCGACGAGAUCCGCUUCAAGAAGGAGCACGAUCAAGAAGCCUGCGGAGGGGACAACCUCCUCAUGGUCCCUUCGACGAGGAACCAGAGAUCGCGCUCGUUCGACUCGGCGACCACGUCGUCUUCGUCGUCCUCUCCUUCGGCUCACUUGGCUGCGUCCUCGGCGUCUGCGCCGCCUUCGGCGGUCCCCGCAGGCAUGGUUGGCACCGGUGUUGGCUUAAGUGCCGGUGUUGGUGGUGGUGUUGGCUAUGGUGGCUAUGGCGGCUACGGUGGCUUCGGCAGCGCCACUGGUGGUGGCAUCACUUCGCUGCCAGUGCCCAGUCCUCCGGCAACUGCCACGGAGGCGCCCUGUCAGUUGGACGUGCCCAAGUGGAGGAUCCUGCGCCGCUCGUCCAGCGACAAGAGUCAGUGUGCGGCAUGCAUCCACUGUCAGUACAUGGAUGAGUUCAGUCGUAGCACGUCGCGCAGCAACAGCCCUCCCGAUAGGCCCCGAUACUUCUCCUCCGGAUCGGAGACUCUCGAAGAGAGUGAGUCCGAGAGUGCGGCCUCGGGGCGGCCCGACGAAGAGCAGGUCACGGACGCCGAGGAGGACCUCUUGGUGUCACCCACGUCGUGCGGUCUCAUGGUGACGCUGUCGGUGCCGGACUCUGGCCAUCGCGUGAGCCUAGGGGGCGACACCGGGGUCACGGUGGUGUCUCUCCAAGUGCCGCAAGUGGCUAAAGGCCGGUCGGCCUCGGUGGACUCGUCGUUCCUCCAGGUGCCCACGCCAGACCCGGACUUGGACCCUGACCUUGCGGCCAAGGCACACCGGUCGCGCUCCGUGGACAUUGUGCUGCCGACGGGUGCCGAGCCACACUACACGCUCUGUCAGCCCAAGGAGCGAGGACACGCAAGAAAAGCGAUCCAGGGAGAAGUUAAGCUCCCCGCCGAGAAUGGAGAUACGAGGCAGUACCGUGCGACGCCUGACUGGGGGGAAAGUGCUAUCAAUGGGGACCACUUAUGGACAGCCACCAGUGCCUCUGGGGAUCUCUGUUACGUGGGAGAGAGUGAAUGCUCAAAACAUGGACCCCGGAUGAAAUGCCCAGCUUGUAAAAUAACUGUUCACGCCGGAUGCAUUAGCAUUUUAAGUGAUAAAAUGAAGUUUCAAUGUAAGCCAACAUUCAGAGAUGUCGGCAUCAGACAAUACCGAGAGCAAACUGUGAUUCAGCACCACUGGGUACAUAGGCGCUAUGAGAAAGGCAAGUGCCAACAGUGUAGCAAGUCCUUUCAGUCAAAACUCUCAUUUGGUAGCAAGGAGAUAGUGGCCAUCAGUUGCACGUGGUGCAAGACAGCCUACCACAACAAGGAGUCUUGUUUCAGUAUGCAAAGGAUUGGGGAGCAGUGCAACCUGGGUGCACACAUGGACAUCAUCGUACCGCCCUCGUGGAUCGUCAAGCUGCCCCGGAAGGGUUCCUUCAAGUCGUCCAUCAGGAGGUCACCAAAGAAGCGGGCUUCUACGAAAAAGAAGUCCCGUAAAGAGGGAUGCGGAGACAAGGACAUGCAGCGUGCGUUUGCCAUCAAGCCAAUCCCGUGUGCGUCAAGCAAGCCCCUGUUGGUGUUCAUCAAUCCACGGAGUGGGGGCAACCAGGGGUCCAAGAUGAUGCAGAAGUUCCAGUGGCUUCUUAACCCACGCCAGGUCUUCGACCUCUCGGAAGGAGGUCCCAGACAGGGGCUUGAGCUGUACCGCAAGGUGAACAACCUACGAAUACUGGCAUGUGGGGGCGAUGGAACGGCGGGCUGGAUCCUGUCCGUGAUCGAUGAGAUCGGCAUCAUGCCCCCGCCGCCCGUUGCUGUGCUACCCCUCGGUACCGGCAACGAUCUGGCCCGCGCACUUGGCUGGGGAGGGGGUUACACGGAUGAGCCUAUAUCAAAGAUACUCCAAGAUGUUCAGAAUGGGGACAUCGUUCAGCUGGACAGGUGGGACCUAAUUGUAAAUAGAAACACGGAGGUGGACAUCUCUCAGUGCGAAGAAGGCAAAGAGACUGUGCCUUUAAAUGUUGUGAAUAAUUAUUUCUCUAUCGGUGUGGAUGCCCACAUUGCCUUGGAGUUUCACGAAGCACGCGAAGCUCACCCUGAGCGGUUCAACAGCAGGCUAAAGAACAAAAUGUUUUACGGCCAGGCAGGAGGCAAGGAUCUCCUUCAGCGAAAGUGGAAGGACCUCUGCAACUACGUCACAUUGGAGUGCGAUGGCCAAGAUUACACGGGGAAGUUACGAGAGCACAAAGUACACUCCAUUCUCUUCUUGAACAUUCCCAGUUAUGGUGGUGGCACGAGACCCUGGGGAAAUCCGGGGACAGCAUUUGAAAUGCCACAGACCGAUGAUGGCCUCAUUGAAGUGAUUGGCCUCACCAUCUACCAAAUGCCUUUCCUCCAGGCGGGUGGCCAUGGCACCUGCCUAUGCCAGUGCCGAAGCGCCCGCGUCGUGACGAGCAAAACCAUCCCGGUGCAAGUGGAUGGGGAGCCCUGCCGCCUACUGCCGUCGCUCAUCGAGCUGCAUAUGCGCAACAAGGCCUGCAUAGUGGCCAAGGCCAAGAUUCACAACCAAGUGCCAAGCCAGUUACCACUGGAAAAGCUGACCAUUGCCAUCCGAAAGCUAAACAUGGCUGAUUACGAGAAUUAUCACUACGACAAGGAGAGGCUACGAAGCCUAUCCAUACCGAUUGGAACAUUGACUGUGAACCCUGACACUGAUCUGGAGAAUGUCAGGCUGCUGAUCAACCAGUUGUGUUCUCUGGAAGGUCCAGAUGCACAGAAUCUGUCACCGUCCAAGAGGUUCUCACCCGACUGGUGCUUUCUGGAUUCAUGCACAGCGGAGAGGUUCUUUCGCAUCGACCGAGCGCAGGAGCAGCUACACUACGUCGUCGACAUUGGUCAGGACGGUGUGUACAUCCUCGACCCUGAGCAAUCGCCGAUCGCUCCGGAGCCGCCACCACCACCACUGACGUCACCCACAACAGACGAAACUGGUGCCCUGGACAGUUCGUCUGUCUUGAAGGAAAGUGCGGAAGGCCUAGCAGCUAUAGCAGCAGCCGCAGCUGCAGCCGAAGCUGUAGCCGAAGCUGAAACAAAGGAGCCAGCUCCAAUGUGGAGCCCCCCUACCCCCAUGCAAGAGUGUAAGGAACAGAAAGUUGAAGCUGGAGAGCAGCUGCAGCCAACUUCAUCGCAUGCUAAAGCAGCUUUGUGACAGUGGUCACAGCCUGCUGUCGACGGACGACAGCGGGAUGACGGCACUGCACCAUGCCGCUCGCUACGGACACAAGGACGUUGUUCGGUAUAUUGUCGCCAGCGCGCCGCCAGUGAUCUUGGACAUUGUGGACAAAGACAG